rnacentral:misc_RNA from 1 species
GACGGAGGGCGCAAGCUUUGUUCGGAAUUACUGUGCUGAAAGCGCGGGCGGGCGUUCUGUUAAGUCGUCUGUGAAAACCCGGGGCUCAACCCCGUGGAAUGCAGGAGAUACUGGCAGACUAGAGACCAGUAGAGGCUAGCGGAAUUCUUGGUGUAGCGGUGGAAUGCGUAGAUAUCAGGAAGAACACCUGUGGCGAAGGCGGCUAGCUGGGCUGGAUCUGACGCUCAUCCGCGAAAGCGUGGGGAGCAAACAGG